GAUUUAGUGGAAACACUUCCGCACAAACUAGAUUAUGGAUACCAGUGUGUGGAAAUGCUUCUGCAACAUU
rnacentral:pre_miRNA from 12 species